rnacentral:rRNA from 1 species
GGUGAAAAGCACCCCGGAAGGGGAGUGAAAUAGAACCUGAAACCGUGUGCUUACAAGUAGUCAGAGCCCGUUAAUGGGUGAUGGCGUGCCUUUUGUAGAAUGAACCGGCGAGUUACGAUUUGAUGCAAGGUUAAGCAGUAAAUGUGGAGCCGUAGCGAAAGCGAGUCUGAAUAGGGCGUUUAGUAUUUGGUCGUAGACCCGAAACCAGGUGAUCUACCCUUGGUCAGGUUGAAGUUCAGGUAACACUGAAUGGAGGACCGAACCGACUUACGUUGAAAAGUGAGCGGAUGAACUGAGGGUAGCGGAGAAAUUCCAAUCGAACCUGGAGAUAGCUGGUUCUCUCCGAAAUAGCUUUAGGGCUAGCCUCAAGUGAUGAUUAUUGGAGGUAGAGCACUGUUUGGACGAGGGGCCCCUCUCGGGUUACCGAAUUCAGACAAACUCCGAAUGCCAAUUAAUUUAACUUGGGAGUCAGAACAUGGGUGAUAAGGUCCGUGUUCGAAAGGGAAACAGCCCAGACCACCAGCUAAGGUCCCAAAAUAUAUGUUAAGUGGAAAAGGAUGUGGCGUUGCCCAGACAACUAGGAUGUUGGCUUAGAAGCAGCCAUCAUUUAAAGAGUGCGUAAUAGCUCACUAGUCGAGUGACACUGCGCCGAAAAUGUACCGGGGCUAAACAUAUUACCGAAGCUGUGGAUUGUCCUUUGGACAAUGGUAGGAGAGCGUUCUAAGGGCGUUGAAGCAUGAUCGUAAGGACAUGUGGAGCGCUUAGAAGUGAGAAUGCCGGUGUGAGUAGCGAAAGACGGGUGAGAAUCCCGUCCACCGAUUGACUAAGGUUUCCAGAGGAAGGCUCGUCCGCUCUGGGUUAGUCGGGUCCUAAGCUGAGGCCGACAGGCGUAGGCGAUGGAUAACAGGUUGAUAUUCCUGUACCACCUAUAAUCGUUUUAAUCGAUGGGGGGACGCAGUAGGAUAGGCGAAGCGUGCGAUUGGAUUGCACGUCUAAGCAGUAAGGCUGAGUAUUAGGCAAAUCCGGUACUCAUUAAGGCUGAGCUGUGAUGGGGAGAAGACAUUGUGUCUUCGAGUCGUUGAUUUCACACUGCCGAGAAAAGCCUCUAGAUAGAAAAUAGGUGCCCGUACCGCAAACCGACACAGGUAGUCAAGAUGAGAAUUCUAAGGUGAGCGAGCGAACUCUCGUUAAGGAACUCGGCAAAAUGACCCCGUAACUUCGGGAGAAGGGGUGCUCUUUAGGGUUAACGCCCAGAAGAGCCGCAGUGAAUAGGCCCAAGCGACUGUUUAUCAAAAACACAGGUCUCUGCUAAACCGUAAGGUGAUGUAUAGGGGCUGACGCCUGCCCGGUGCUGGAAGGU